AUUGAACGCUGGCGGCAGGCCUAACACAUGCAAGUCGAACGGUAACAGGAAGCAGCUUGCUGCUUUGCUGACGAGUGGCGGACGGGUGAGUAAUGUCUGGGAAACUGCCUGAUGGAGGGGGAUAACUACUGGAAACGGUAGCUAAUACCGCAUAACGUCGCAAGACCAAAGGGGGGGACCUUCGGGCCUCUUGCCAUCGGAUGUGCCCAGAUGGGAUUAGCUAGUAGGUGGGGUAACGGCUCACCUAGGCGACGAUCCCUAGCUGGUCUGAGGGGAUGACCAGCCACACUGGAACUGAGACACGGUCCAGACUCCUACGGGAGGCAGCAGUGGGGAAUAUUGCACAAUGGGCGCAAGCCUGAUGCAGCCAUGCCGCGUGUAUGAAGAAGGCCUUCGGGUUGUAAAGUACUUUCAGCGGGGAGGAAGGGAGUAAAGUUAAUACCUUUGCUCAUUGACGUUACCCGCAGAAGAAGCACCGGCUAACUCCGUG
rnacentral:rRNA from 1 species